AUUGAACGCUGGCGGCAUGCCUUACACAUGCAAGUCGAACGGCAGCACGGGAGCAAUCCUGGUGGCGAGUGGCGAACGGGUGAGUAAUACAUAGGAACAUACCCAGUAAUGGGGGAUAACGCCGAGAAAUCGGUGCUAAUACCGCAUACGCCCUACGGGGGAAAGCGGGGGAUCUUCGGACCUCGCGUUAUUGGAUUGGCCUAUGUCUGAUUAGCUAGUUGGUGAGGUAAAGGCUCACCAAGGCUUCGAUCAGUAGCUGGUCUGAGAGGAUGAUCAGCCACACUGGAACUGAGACACGGUCCAGACUCCUACGGGUGGCUG
rnacentral:rRNA from 1 species